rnacentral:rRNA from 1 species
UGAGGAAUAUUGCGCAAUGGGGGCAACCCUGACGCAGCAACGCCGCGUGAGUGAGGAAGGUUUUCGGACCGUAAAGCUCUGUCGAGCGGGAAGAAAUGUAUCGUGGCUAAUAUCCAUGAUAUUUGACGGUACCGCUAAAGGAAGCACCGGCUAACUCCGUGCCAGCAGCCGCGGUAAUACGGGGGGUGCAAGCGUUGUUCGGAAUUAUUGGGCGUAAAGAGCGUGUAGGCGGCUGAAUAAGUCAGAUGUGAAAUCCCUGGGCUCAACUCAUGAACUGCAUUUGAAACUGUUGGUCUUGAGUGUCGGAGAGGCAAGCGGAAUUCCUAGUGUAGCGGUGAAAUGCGUAGAUAUUAGGAGGAACACCAGUGGCGAAGGCGGCUUGCUGGACGAUAACUGACGCUGAGGCGCGAAAGCGUGGGGAGCAAACA